UUGUGGCCGAGAAGCUGCCGGAGUAUCUGCGCGCUAGGCCGAAGAUGGAGCGGCGGGUUUGGGGCAGGGGCAGCGCACUUCCCGACAAGGAAGCGGCGGCGGGCCCAGGGAUUUGGGAUGGGGGCACGUGGUCGCGAACCUGGAUGAUAAGGUGCACGGGGUGUGCAGCUUCUUGUCACCGUUCAACGCGAGGGUGCGCUUGGUUCCGCAGGGGUCUGAGAUGAAAUACGCCCUGGAGCGGCUAAUCACGGGACUCGGGGUCGGGCGAGAAACAGACCGGCCCUGCUACAGUUUGGCCCUGGCACAGCUGUUACAGUCUUUUGAAGACCUCCAUUUGUGCAGCAUCCUGCAGCAGAUACAAGAAAAAUAUGACCUGCAUCAGGUGAAGAAGUCAAUGGUGAGACCUGCUGUCUUUGCAGACCUGUUCAGAGUGCUCGCCCUCUUUCAGUCAGGCUGGCUGGUGAAGGACCAGGAGGUGCUGAGGAAGUCAGUGAAGCUGCUGCAGGCCCUGGCCCAGUAUCAGAACCACUUGCAGGAGCAGCCCCAGAAAGCCCUGGUGGACAUUCUCUUCGAGGUCUCAGAGGCCAUGUUGCAGGAGAUGCUGCCAGAGGUCCUCAGCACUGACUUGGAUGCGAUGCUCAGCUGCCCUGAACAGCUGGGGCUCUUCCUCCUGGCCCAGCAGAAAGUGCCCUCUAGGCUCAAGAAGCUGGUGGGAUCUGUCAACCUAUUUUCGGAUGAGAAUGUUCCCAGGAUGGUGAACAUCCUGAAGAUGGCAGUGUCCUCAGUGAAGGAGGAAUGAAAGCUGCCUGCCGUCGCCCUGGAGCUGCUCUACCUGGCACUCAAGGAAGACAAGUUUCUGCACAGUUCUGGAAGGGGAUGGUGGAACAGGGGCUGCUGAAGCUGCAGUUCUGGCCAGCCAGCUACCUGUGUUUCUGCCUGCUGGGCACCGCCCUGCCCCUGCUGACCAAGGAACAGCUGCAGCUGGUGAUGCAGGGAGACGUGAUCCGCCAUUACAUGGAGCACAUGUGCACGGCCAAGCUCCCAAACCAGUUCAAGUUCACCCCGGAGAUGGAGGAAUACAUGGGCACUUUCCUAGAGGGAUGCUGGUAUGACCCUGAGCAGCAGCUGGCCGUGCUGGUGGCCUUCUUCCCCACCACCAACCACGGUCUCCCAGUGGUGCCUACCUUCUGGUGGGUCGUGCGGUUCCUGAGCUCUCGGGCCCUGCAGGGCUAUGUGGCCUGGCUGCAGGGCAUGUUUCUCCAGUCAAACCUGGACUCCUUGAUUGACUUAAGCACCAACAACUGAAGAAAGCUCAGGAUGCAUCACUGCACGUGCCUGAGCGAGCUGUGUUCUGGCUGCGGAAAUGGAUCAUCCUCAGACUGGUGAGCCUUGUGGACAGCCUGCACCUAGGGAUGGAGGAGGCUUGACGGAGGAGGUGGCCAGGUUUGUGUUUGUUCACUUGUUCUUCGUCACAAAGAAGCCCACAUCCCAGAUCCCUGAGACAAGGCAGCAGCUCUCCCUCCCUUUGGAAUGCCAGGCCCAAGAGACCGUCAGCAGCACCUUCUUCAGUCUGCUGCAGACCCUCAGCAUGCAGUUCAAGCUGGCACCAGAGCAGACCUGGGGCGGGCAGCCCUGGACCUACCACCUGGUUCAUUUCGCAGACGUGCUGCUGAAUCACAGUCACAGCGUGAGCCCCGUGACACCCCUCACUGUGCAGCAGUGCCGGGCCUGGGACAGGAUGCUGCAGACUCUGAAGGAGCUGGAGGCCACCUCCUCAGAGCCCAGGGCUGCCGCCUUCCAGCACCUUCUGCUGCUUGUGGGUAUCUACCUCUUCAAGUCCCCUACAGAGAGCUGUGACCUGCUGGGUGACAUCCAGACCUGCAUCAGAAACAGCCUGGGAGAGAGGUGCUGCGGGAGCCGCACCAAGGCCAUUGAUCCCCAGGAGCUGCCAUGGGUAGAGGUGCUGGUGGAGAUCCUGCUGGCCCAGCCCAGCCACCUCAUGUGUCAAGUGGCCCAGAGCAUGUUCGACCACGUCUGCUCCCACCUGACCCCGCGUACCCUACAGCUGAUUCUGGAUGUGCUGAACUCAGAGACCAGUGAGGAUGAGGAUGACCAUGUGGUGGUGAUGGACAAGUCUGAUGAGCAGCGGCUGAAGGUUGCAGAGGAAAAGUGCGAGGAUGGUGAGGAGAGCAGAGGCAGAGAGUGAAGAUGAGAGCGAUGUUGGGGAGAGCGAGGAGGAGGAGGAGCGUGACAGGAUGUGGACCAGGGCUUCUGGGUACAGCUGAUGAGUGUGCUGCAGGCUGCGAAGGCGCUGGGUGGAGUGGAAAGUGAGGACGAGGAGGAGCUGGGGGAUGAGGCCAUGAUGGUCCUGGACCAGAACCUCGCCAGUCUCUUUGCUGAGCAGAGGCUGUGGAUCCAGGCCCGGCAGGACGAGAAGAGCAAACCACAGAAGGAGAAGGUGCUGCAGAGUGACUUCCAGAUUUGAGUGCUGGACCUGGUGGAGGUGCUGGUGACCAAGCACAGCAGCCUGAGAAUGUCCUGAUCCUGGAGCUGCUGGAGCCGCUGCUGGGCAUCAUUCAGUGCAGCCUACGCAGCAGCAGCUCUAAGCAGGAGCAGGACCUGCUGCACAAGACUGUGUGCAUCCUCACCCACCACCUGUGCCGUGGCCAUAUGUACUGCCACGACUUGGGUGACCGCAUCGAGGCCGCCAGCCCGACUCCACCGCCCUCUACCACUUCAAUGCCUCCCUCUACCUGCUCUGAGUCUUGAAGGGCGGCACUGCCGAGGGGUGCGUGCAUGAGACGCAGGAGGAGCUGGAGGCUGGCACCAACCCCAGCCCCAUGACCGAGGGCUCACAGGCUGCCGGCUGCCUGGACUUGAACUUCACGAUAUGCGUCUACUCAUCAGUACUGAGCUCCUUCCUGACCAAGCGCCACAGCCCCCUCACGGUCCCCAUGUUCCUCAGCCUCUUUUCCCGGCACCCAGUGCUCUGUAAGAGCCUGCUCCCUGUCCUGGUCUAGCACGUCACAAGCCCAGGGCGGCCCCACCAGCAGAGUGCUGGCCUGGUGAACACGGGCGCAGCCGUCCCUGCCACACCGAGCAUGGAGGCACUAAGGGGGCGGGGCCAGCUUCACUCCCACAGCCACCACUGCCCAUCUGGCCACACAGAGGACACCGUGGUAGUGUCUGAUCAGGCUCCAGGCACCCACCUUUACCCAACCACAGGCACAAGCUUGCUGCUCCAGAAGACCCUGUCCAUGUGGGAGGUGAGGUCGUGCUUCCAGGACCCAGAGCGGAAGCAGCUGAUCAGCCAGGUCCUGACAAAGGUCAUGGAGACCAAGGCAGAGCACCAGCAGGUGCUGUCCCCCCUGGAGCUGCUCAGUACUGUCUUCAGGACCUGUAAACACGAGAAGCUGACCCUGGACCUGACAGUGCUCUUGGGCAUGCUGCAGGGGCAGCAGCAGGGCCUGAGGCAGGGGGUGCACUCCACCAGCUCCAGCCGCCUACUUGACCUCUACUGGCACCCCAAGUUGGAGAAAGAUACCAAGGAGAUCCCCAGCGCCACCCAGAGCCCCAUCAGCAGGAAGCAGAAGAAAAAGGGAUUCUUGCCAGAGACAAAGAAUUGCAAGAAACAGGUCAGAGGAUGGCACACUUGCAGCCACCUGCGGGAGCCAGCCAGCACAUGCAGCAAGAGGACAAAGGCCAAGGUCCCAGACCAGGCCAACGGGAUGCCUACCACCAAGGGCCCAGUCCCUGGCGCUCCCACCCUGAGCCCCAACACCCCUGCCAAGUCCACAAAACUGCAUAAGAAAAACCGGAAGCUGUCCAAGGUGAAUGGAGCUCCCAGCUCCCCAAUGAAGCCUGUAGGCCAAAAGCAGCACCACGAGGCCAUUCCCAAAAAGGGGGUCUUGGACAAAUCACCGCCAUCCACACUGGCACAGAAAAAGGCAAGGUCGCCUUUAGUCAUCAGGAGCCCCAGCCUGCUCCAGAGUGGGACCAAGAAGAAAACGCAGCUGAGGAAGGUGGGGAAGCUGAGUGCAAGCCACCCUCAGCCUCCAUCUGCCCAAGACUCCUAUUUUUCCACCAUGAUUUGAAUAUGCAAGCCAUUUCUAAGGCUCUGUCCCCAGGGAGGUUGUCACUGCCUGCCCAGGCAUCCUGCUCUGAUAAGCACAGCCCAAGCUGUUCCUGCAGGGGUCCCAGGAUGCAGAGACCCCCCUGGUUCUAGGCUGGGACUGUGGCUUCAGGGCCCUGUGGGCCAGGUCCAGGGCUCUGGGGUUCACCUGGGUGGAUACAGGGCGACAUGCUGGCUGCAGGCUGGGUACAGGUGUGACCGUCUUUUGCACCCCCCGCCCCAGGCUUUUUUGCUGAGGGAGCCACAGGGAGUGAUUUAAAUAGGUUUAUUUCUUCAUUUACAAGAGGAAUAUAUUUGGCUUCUCUCUUAAGACUCUGAGAUUCAUAAUCAGCAGCUCUAAAAAAUAAAGGAGCAGUUUGGCUUCUGGAAGGAAGAGGAGGCAA